ACAUGACUGUGACUGAUGCACUAUUUCCAGGACAUGGAGUAGCAUUUCCGGACCUACAGCAAGACGUUGGAUGAAGGCAUAGCCCCAGAAAUAACACUGCUCAUGUUCAUCAGUGAGGGGCCGGUGCUGGACACUGUGUAGGGACACGGGAAUGCAAAGUCAUGCACAUGACUGUGACUGAUGCACUAUUUCCAGGACAUGGAGUAGCAUUUCGGGACCUACAGCAAGACGUUGGAUGAAGGCACAGGCCUAGGAAUCAUGCACAUACACAGAAACAUUUGCCCAAAUUAUAGAGGUAACCUCCUUUAGUAUGCCCAGAGGAAGGGCAAUACAGUAGCCAUGGAUUCCCUACAGGUUUCCUCCCCUCUGGAGGUUUUUCCUGUCCUGAGUAUUAGUUACUGUACGCUCUUUGUGAGUGAUGGGAGGUUACAAAACAUCCCCUACACAAACAUUUUAAUAAAUUAUAAAUAAAGUUCCCCUUUUU